AGAGCGAAUGCUGGCGGCAGGCUUAACACAUGCAAGUCGAGCGGGCGUAGCAAUACGUCAGCGGCAGACGGGUGAGUAACGCGUGGGAACAUACCUUUUGGUUCGGAACAACACAGGGAAACUUGUGCUAAUACCGGAUAAGCCCUUACGGGGAAAGAUUUAUCGCCGAAAGAUUGGCCCGCGUCUGAUUAGCUAGUUGGUGAGGUAACGGCUCACCAAGGCGACGAUCAGUAGCUGGUCUGAGAGGAUGAUCAGCCACAUUGGGACUGAGACACGGCCCAAACUCCUACGGGAGGCAGCAGUGGGGAAUAUUGGACAAUGGGCGCAAGCCUGAUCCAGCCAUGCCGCGUGAGUGAUGAAGGCCCUAGGGUUGUAAAGCUCUUUGUGCGGGAAGAUAAUGACGGUACCGCAAGAAUAAGCCCGGCUAACUUCGCGCCAGCAGCCGC
rnacentral:rRNA from 1 species